rnacentral:lncRNA from 1 species
CAGACUCAGAAAGUGAUCGAUGGAGGCAUACUUGCAGUCUUUCCCAGCCUGCUAACAAACCCCAAAACUAAUAUUCAGAAGGAGGCCACAUGGACAAUGUCGAACAUUACCACCGGGCGCCAGGACCAGAUACAGCAAGAGGUGAAUCACGGCCUCGUCCCAUUUCUCGUUGGUGUCCUCUCUAAGGCAGACUUCAAGACACAGAAGGAAGCUGCCUGGGCUAUAACCAACUGUACCAGAGGCUGCAGAGAAACUUGGUGAGACAGAAAAACUCAGUAUAAUGAUCGAAGAGUGUGGAGGCUUGGAUAAAAUUGAAGCACUACAGAGCCAUGAGAACGAGUCUGUAUAUGAAGCCUCAUUGAACCUAAUUGAGAAGUGGAGGAAGAGGAAGAUCAAAAUGCAGUGCAGAGAGUACCUCUGAAGGCUUCACCUUCCAAGUUCAGGAUGGAGCUUCAGGGACCUUUAACUUCUAAUGUCCACUCAAGACACAAUGUUGUUAGCUAUGUGCUGUGCUAUGCUGUGUUCUCACAAAUUUGUCUUACUGUUUCUCUACUAAGAACUCUUUUUAAAUGUCGUUUGUUAUUGUAGCACUUUUUACAAAAGAAACUAUACUUGAACAGUUAUAAACUGUACAUACUAAAAAAAAAGACAACAAAAAUCAUCUGUACUGAAAUAUUAAGAGGGAUAAAAGGGCCAGUGUACAGACUUUGCAAGUGAUGCAAGACAGUAACAAAUUGUCUAAUAUACAUGUCACCAAAAUGGUAAAACAGAAAAUAUAUCUGAAUAAUAAUCCCUGAGAAGUCUUGAAUAUGACUAGCAAACAUGCAGACUCAAGAAUUUCAGAGAACAUCAAACAGAGUAAUUCACUAAAGUCAAAACAAUCAAAUUUAUUUUUGAUACGUGAUGAUUAAACACAUGAUUUUUGUAGUUUACCAUAGAGAACCUAUACAAUGAUUAUGCGUUUUAAUUUUGGUAUAGUAUUUAAUUAAUUAUAUGAGGUAUUUAGUGCUUUCUUAUCAAACAGACUAUAAGCUAAAUGCUAUUACUCAAGUGUAGUCUGGUAGUGUUCUGAUCAUGUUUAAGAUACUCAAAGCUAAGCUGCAAUGUUUUGUACGUUAUGCAUACUAUGCAAUGUAUCCUCCAUUCAUGACACUUUCAACUCACAAUGAGCUUAUUGUAUUAAUCUUGUUACUGUGACCUUCAUAUCUGAUGGAAGCAGCUUAAGGAGGAAAGGGGUUAUGUUGGCUCUACAGAGUAAGGGGUCAGACUCCAUUAUGACAAGAACAGCAUGACACCUAGAUAUCUACCUAUUACAGUAACAUUUGGUGGCAUUACUUGUUAAGUGGCACUGCCAGGAGGUACAUAAUUCAAGGUGGACAUGGUGGUGGCCUAUAACUCUUAUAGUCCUAUGUUUGCUAGUGAGGCUCCAUGUUCAAAA